UAGGGUGUGGCUCAGUGGUAGAGCACUUGCCUAGUAUAUGUGAGGCCCUGGGUUUGAUUCCCAGCACUGCAU
rfam:Ictidomys tridecemlineatus contig000066, whole genome shotgun sequence.